rnacentral:rRNA from 1 species
CCUACGGGAGGCAGCAGUGGGGAAUUUUCCGCAAUGGGCGAAAGCCUGACGGAGCAACGCCGCGUGAGGGAUGAAGGCCUCUGGGCUGUAAACCUCUUUUAUCAAGGAAGAAGAUCUGACGGUACUUGAUGAAUAAGCCACGGCUAAUUCCGUGCCAGCAGCCGCGGUAAUACGGGAGUGGCAAGCGUUAUCCGGAAUUAUUGGGCGUAAAGCGUCCGCAGGCGGUCUUGUAAGUCUGUCGUUAAAGCGUGGAGCUUAACUCCAUUUCGGCGGUGGAAACUACAAGACUAGAGUGUGGUAGGGGCAGAGGGAAUUCCCGGUGUAGCGGUGAAAUGCGUAGAUAUCGGGAAGAACACCAGUGGCGAAGGCGCUCUGCUGGGCCAUAACUGACGCUCAUGGACGAAAGCUAGGGGAGCGAAAGGGGAUUAGAUACCCCUGUAGUCCUAGCCGUAAACGAUGAACACUAGGUGUCGGGGGAAUCGACCCCCUCGGUGUCGUAGCUAACGCGUUAAGUGUUCCGCCUGGGGNGUACGCNCGCAGUGUGAACGUACAAUAGAGUUAGACGGCGUGUAAGACGUGCCGACGGCGACGACGAGGGAGGAGG